rnacentral:rRNA from 1 species
GGGCCCGCACAAGCGGUGGAGCAUGUGGUUUAAUUCGAAGAUACGCGCAGAACCUUACCAACACUUGACAUGUUCGUCGCGACUUUGAGAGAUCAAAGUUUUCGGUUCGGCCGGACGAAACACAGGUGCUGCAUGGCUGUCGUCAGCUCGUGUCGUGAGAUGUUGGGUUAAGUCCCGCAACGAGCGCAACCCUCACUUUUAGUUGCCAUCAUUAAGUUGGGCACUCUGAAAGAACUGCCAGUGAUAAGCUGGAGGAAGGUGGGGAUGACGUCAAGUCCUCAUGGCCCUUACGUGUUGGGCUACACACGUGCUACAAUGGUAUCUACAACAGGAAGCGAGACUGCGAGGUUAAGCAAAUCCUAAAAAGAUACCUCAGUUCGGAUUGCACUCUGCAACUCGAGUGCAUGAAGCUGGAAUUACUAGUAAUCG